rnacentral:rRNA from 1 species
GAUGAACGCUGGCGGUAUGCUUUACACAUGCAAGUCGAACGAAAGCUUUAGCUUUAGUGGCGAACGGGUGAGUAACACGUAAGAAUCUACCUCUAGGAGGGAAAUAACAGUUGAAACGAUUGCUAAUGUCCCAUAUGCUGAGAAGUGAAAUAUUUUUUGCCUAGAGAUGAGCUUGCGCCUGAUUAGCUAGUUGGUAAGGUAAAGGCUUACCAAGGCGACGAUCAGUAGCUGGUUUGAGAGGAUGAUCAGCCACACUGGAACUGAGACACGGUCCAGACUUCUACGGAAGGCAGCAGUGGGAAUUUUCCGCAAUGGGCGAAAGCCUGACGGAGCAAGACCGCGUGGGGGAGAAGGUUUUUGGAUCGUAAACCCCUUUUGCAAGGAAGAAGCUCUGACGGUACUUGACGAAUAAG